CCAUCUUUCACCUGGGAGAUGACCUUGGAAGUGUUUUGAGCAGAUGUAGUUUUGGCCCACCGGAUCAGCAUUCCACACAGCUUAAAAAUGUGGAACUAGUUGCAUGAAGCAUCUAGAGAAAUAUCCCAAAGGAGUGAAUGAUGCUGCAGCUACCAAAAGCUCCAUUCCAUGGAGAAGGUGUCCAAAGAAGCAUGACCCAGGAUCGUCAGGGCUUGCUGAGCACUCUGGGAUCAGUGGAUGGCUGGGCCACCACAGUCCUUUUUCACAACACCUCAAGGAGCAAUGCCAGCCCUGGGCUGACCAUGCAGCAACUCAAUGCCAGUGGGAUGGAGCUGCCUGCCAACAUCUUGGCUGAGGAGGCAGGAGGAAGGUGAACUUGGAGGACCCUGGGUGCGUUUGGAGGGAUCAAGGAAUUAAAACCUGGCAUGGUGUCAAAGAAGAUGAAAACACCUUCAGGCCUCCAGAAAGGAGAAGGAUGUGGGAGGCUGAGCAACCAUGCCCCUUCCCAAAAGAAGGACACCAGUUACAUCACAGUUUUCAAACUCAAGAGCAAGCAGCUUGUUAACAUUAUAUUUAUCAAAUAAGAAACCUUCCUUCUAGAGUUGUUAAAAGACUGGAGAACAGAGAUGAAAAUGUGUGGAUGGGUUCAUCAUUUGAGAUGAUGUGAUCUACAGUGCUUCAGAGGUCCCAGUGACUGAAAAUAGCUGUGCCCUCCAAUUCUCUCUUCAUCCAGUAGGUUAGAGUCAUACCAGGACUUCCACAGUACAGUGCCAAGAGAAGGAGGAGGAUUCCAGUCAGAGCCGAGAACUGCCACAGAAGCGGAGCUCCCCAGGCCCCACGGCUCUGCUCCAGCUUCAUCUGCUCCAGAGUGAACCGAGUCAUCUGCUGCUCCAGGUACUCGGCACGCUGCUGCAUGCGCUCCAGCGCGGCCUCAUCCAGCCCAUCGCCGGCCUGCUGCGGGUACUGGAGGAGGGCUUGCGCAAGCAAGAAAAUGAGCUGAACGGCCAGCAUGGCCUUAAGGAGCUCCUACCCUUUAACAGCUGGUCUGACCUGGUUGUCCAGACUCUCACCAAAAGAAGGAAGAGAUGGUGUCCACCCCAGAGGGCAUAAAAUCUGGAUCUAAAAUAGUUUAACAGGCUGAGCAUUGAAGUAAAGACUGCAUUUCAAGCAGAGAGCUGCUGAUGGAGCUGUUCUGGCUGGAGAGGAGGAAGAUGAGACCAGAACUGAGCUCUGGGAUCCAUCUCGUAUUUCACACUGCUGAGAUCUGAAAAAUGGCAUCUGGGUUCCUGGCUUUGUAGAGAAGGGAGAUUCACAAACCUAGGAAAGGAUGACAGCACUCCAGUGAGACAAACCCUCUUAUGUUCUUCUUCUGCCCAGCAGAGAGAAAGAAAGAUUCUUCUUGUCACAGAUAUGAGCAUCUGAGGUUAUGCUCCAGCUUUGAAUCUCUGAGUCUUUUCCCACUGUCCCUACUGUGAGCCUAGAAAACCCAGGUUUGCUAGGCUGUUAUCUGUUUUUUGAGCCCUUCUUCCACCCAUUCAUUUUAGUGAAUGCUGUACAGCUGAUCCUGACUCAGUCAGAUCUCUUCCCUGUGCUGUACCUUCUCAGCAGUAGACAAGC